rnacentral:rRNA from 1 species
UGCAAGGUUCCCUUCGGGGACCGUGGACACAGGUGCUGCAUGGCUGUCGUCAGCUCGUGUCGUGAGAUGUUGGGUUAAGUCCCGCAACGAGCGCAACCCUCGCCCUUAGUUGCCAGCAUUUAGUUGGGCACUCUAAGGGGACUGCCGGUGAUAAGCCGAGAGGAAGGUGGGGAUGACGUCAAGUCCUCAUGGCCCUUACGGGCUGGGCUACACACGUGCUACAAUGGUGGUGACAGUGGGCAGCGAGCACGCGAGUGUGAGCUAAUCUCCAAAAGCCAUCUCAGUUCGGAUUGCACUCUGCAACUCGAGUGCAUGAAGUUGGAAUCGCUAGUAAUCGCGGAUCAGCAUGCCGCGGUGAAUA